UGAACUACCUGACCCACCUGAUGUGUGUGCUUAAAACUGAGUCCUAGAUUCUGACUGAAACCAAGAUGGGUCUCCAAGGCCUGCCGUCAGAGAGACAUUUCUGUACCUGGACAGAGCUCCCUGCCGAGCCCAGAGGCACAAAGAUAACAGAAUAUUAAACGAGGAAAGACUGGACACCGCAACUUCCCCACUGGUUCUGAUUGGAAGACUAAGGGAGAGGUCGCAGAAGGUAAAGAGGGCAUCCCUUGAAAUAGGAAGAAGAUAACAGUCCUCCUCUGACUGCAGCUAAGUGAGGCUGCCGUGGUGGGGGGAGGGAGGGCAGCAGGUGCUCACUGCCCUGUCCAGAUAACGAGUUAAUGAGGAAGGAGACUCAGCUCUCCUCUAUGGCACAGUCAUGACACAGAGCACACAACGAGAACCACAGGAGGUCCUACAACUCCAAAGCAUAACUUCUGUUCCACUUUCCUCACAGAGGCCCAGUGAGUAAAGGCUCCUGGGGCAGUGUGGGCUCCCAGACAUCUCGUGCCUUCUAGGCCUGUUUCUCUCAUUACUGUAAUACCACAGA
rnacentral:lncRNA from 1 species